rnacentral:rRNA from 1 species
AAUAGAUACCCAGGUAGUCCACGCCGUAAACGAUGAGUGCUAAGUGUUAGGGGGUUUCCGCCCCUUAGUGCUGCAGCUAACGCAUUAAGCACUCCGCCUGGGGAGUACGGUCGCAAGACUGAAACUCAAAGGAAUUGACGGGGGCCCGCACAAGCGGUGGAGCAUGUGGUUUAAUUCGAAGCAACACGAAGAACCUUACCAGGUCUUGACAUCCCAUUGACCACUAUGGAGACAUAGUUUUCCCUUCGGGGACAACGGUGACAGGUGGUGCAUGGUUGUCGUCAGCUCGUGUCGUGAGAUGUUGGGUUAAGUCCCGCAACGAGCGCAACCCUUGUUCUUAGUUGCCAUCAUUUAGUUGGGCACUCUAAGGAGACUGCCGGUGACAAACCGGAGGAAGGUGGGGAUGACGUCAAAUCAUCAUGCCCCUUAUGACCUGGGCUACACACGUGCUACAAUGGACGGUACAAACGGUUGCCAACCCGCGAGGGGAGCUAAUCCGAUAAAACCGUUCUCAGUUCGGAUUGUAGGCUGCAACUCGCCUACA